rnacentral:rRNA from 1 species
UACGAACUGUGCGAACGUUAUUCGGAAUCACUGGGCUUACAGGGUGCGUAGGCGGCUUGUUAAGUAGGGUGUGAAAGCCCCCGGCUCAACCGGGGAAUGGCGCCCUAAACUGGCGAGCUAGAGUGAGAUAGGGGUGUGUGGAACUUCCGGUGGAGCGGUGAAAUGUGUUGAUAUCGGAAGGAACGCCGGUGGCGAUAGCGACACACUGGAUCUUGUCUGACGCUGAGGCACGAAAGCCAGGGGAGCGAACGGG